GAUGAACGCUGGCGGCGUGCCUAACACAUGCAAGUCGAGCGAAUGAAGGGAACUUUCUCUUCGCUAUGGCGGCGGCCGGCCGGGUAAUUACCAGGUGACUACCUACCUGUGAGGGCUGGAGUACUUCCGGGAACCCGAAUCUAGAACAGGUCAUAAUUUUGAACGUCGGGGUUCAAAGGACAACGCGGUAUUGGCUGUCCCUAGGUCGGAUUAGCUAGUUGGUUAGGUAAUGGCUUACCAAGGCGACGAUCCAUAGCCGGUCUGAGAGGGUGAUCAGUCACACUGGAACUGAGACACGGUCCAGACUCCUACGGGAGGCAGCAGUAGGGAAUCUUCCGCAAUGGGCGAAAGCCUGACGGAGCAACGCCGCGUGAGUGAUGAAGGUCUUCGGAUCGUAAAACUCUGUUAUUAGGGAAGAACAUAUGUGUAAGUAACUGUGCACAUCUUGACGGUACCUAAUCAGAAAGCCACGGCUAACUACGUG
rnacentral:rRNA from 1 species